GCUACAGAAACUACAAAGGAAGUUCGACGGGGGCCCGCGACAAGCGGUGGAGCAUGUGGUUUAAUCGAUGAUACGCGAGGAACCGUUACCUGGGCUCAAAUGUAUGUUGACGUAUUCUGAAAGGGAUACUUCUUCGGACAAUAUACAAGGUGCUGCAUGGUUGUCGUCAGCUCGUGCCGUGAGGUGUCGGGUUAAGUCCCAUAACGAGCGCAACCCUAUCAUUAGUUGCCAUCAGGUCAAGCUGGGGACUCUAAUGAAACUGCCUACGCAAGUAGUGAGGAAGGUGGGGAUGACGUCAAAUCAGCACGGCCCUUACGUCCAGGGCUACACACGUGCUACAAUGGCCGGUACAAAGGGCAGCUACCUGGUGACAGGAUGCUAAUCUCAAAAGCCGGUCUCAGUUCGGAUCGGAGUCUGCAACCCGACUCCGUGAAGCUGGAAUCGCUAGUAAUCGCGCAUCAGCCAUGGCGCGGUGAAUACGUUCCCGGGCCUU
rnacentral:rRNA from 1 species